rnacentral:pre_miRNA from 1 species
CAACUACUCCCUCUGUCCCAAAUUUCUUAUCUUAGAUUUGUCUAGAUACGGAUGUAUCUAAUACUAAAAUGUGACUUGAUACAUCCGUAUCUGGACAAAUCUAAGACAAGAAUUUUGGGAUGGAGGGAGUACUUU